GUCUUGUUGAACCACUGUUGCAUGAUGCUGACCUUGUUAAUAUUCCUUCACAUACAGGCAUCUUCUGGAUGAUGGGAUCUCCUACAAGAAUACUGAUUACCGACUGAAGACGCCGUCUGCCUCAGAGGAUACAGUUCUUCAGAGGUUCCAUAUCAUGAGAAACCAUCAUACAGGUGGAUUUAGGCAGAGCACCCUCAUUAAACCAGAACAUGAUCGAUUUCUUCAUCCCUUUUCUGCCACUGGAGCGUCACCAUGUGGAAAUGUGCAGCAAGGAAGAGCUACGACGGGAUGGGCAGCAGGAGGAUAGAAAUAUAAUAGACAGAGUGGCAGAUAUGCUACAGUAUGACCCAAAGGAAUACAAAUUAUUUUCUGGCAUUGGCUGCAAGCAUGUUCCAUCGAGAGUGACCCUGGUACUCAAGCCCUGCCACCUGACUACUCCACCCGGCUGCCAGUCACAGAUUACACAUGAGCAUUGUCACUAGUCAGUUGCAGUAAUGUAAAGGUUACUCUAACACAGUUUCUGGGACAUUUUGGACAAGCGCUCCCAGGAGAGUGGACAACCUCCUGCAUCCUGCCCACUUCUCAGAUAAAGUGGGCGCGAGGCGCGAUGACAGAAUUAGCGAUGAAUUGAUUCAUUGUGGCCCCAAAUCCUGUAAUGUGAUGACGGGUAUCGUGAUGUCCCCCAGACUCUGGGCCUAAUUCAGACCUCAUCGCUGCAGCAAACUUUUUCUCUAAUGGGCAAAACCAUGUGCACUGCAGGGGGGGGGGCAGAUAUAACAUGUGCAGAGAGAGAUAGAUUUGGGUGUGGUGUGUUCAAACUGAAAUCUAAAUUGCAGUGUAAAAAUAAAGCAGCCACUAUUUUCCCUACACAGAAACAAUAUAACCCACCCAAAUCUAACUCUCUCUGGACAUGUAAUAUCUGCCCCUCUGCAGUGCGCAUGGUUUUUCCCAUUAGAGAAGGAUUUUGCUGCUGUGAUCAGGUCUGAAUUAGGCGGGUCAUUCCGAGUUGAUCGCUCGCUUGCUACUCUUAGCAGCCGUGCAAACGCAUAGUCGCCGCCCACGGGGGAGUGUAUUUUCGCUUUGCGCGUGUGUGCGAACACUUGUACAGCCGAGCAGGACAAAAAAGUUUUUUGCAGUUCUCAGUAGCUCUGGACUUACUCAGCCCUUGCGAUCACUUCAGUCUUUUUGGUCCCAGAAUUGACGUCAGACACCCGCCCUGCAAACGCUUGGACAUGCCUACGUUUUCCCAAACACUCCCUGAAAACAGUCAGUUGACACCCAUAAAUGCCCUCUUCCUGUCAAUCCCCUUGCGAUUGGCUGUACGAAUGGAUUCUUUGUUAAAGCCAUCACCCAGCAAAGAUCCGCUUUGUACCCGUACGACGCGUGUGCGCAUUGCAGAGCAUACGCAUGCGCAGUAGUAACCUGUUCGCUGCGCUGCAAAAAACAGCAGAGAGCGAUCAAAUCUGAAUGACCCCCUAGGCCCUUUAUCCUGUCUGUUACCACCCAGUCCAUGUUUUACUGCUGUUUGUUCACAAUUGUAAAGCAUUACAGAUUAUGCCAGUGCUAUAUAAUUGAAUAUGGCCAUAUAUGUUUGCUGAGCUCUACCUUGAAGAAGGUUCUCCAGAAGGACCGAAACGUUGAUGAUGUGUGAAUAAAGUUACACUUAACCUGUUUAA